rnacentral:rRNA from 1 species
UAGGGAGCGUAGGUGGAUUGUUAGUCAGUUGUGAAAGUUUGCGGCUCAACCGUAAAAUUGCAGUUGAUACUGGCAGUCUUGAGUACAGUAGAGGUGGGCGGAAUUCGUGGUGUAGCGGUGAAAUGCUUAGAUAUCACGAAGAACUCCGAUUGCGAAGGCAGCUCACUGGACUGCAACUGACACUGAUGCUCGAAAGUGUGGAGUAUCAAACAGUA